GAUGAAUGCUGGCGGCGUGCCUAAUACAUGCAAGUCGAGCGAACGGACGAGAAGCUUGCUUCUCUGAUGUUAGCGGCGGACGGGUGAGUAACACGUGGAUAACCUACCUAUAAGACUGGGAUAACUUCGGGAAACCGGAGCUAAUACCGGAUAAUAUUUUGAACCGCAUGGUUCAAAAGUGAAAGACGGUCUUGCUGUCACUUAUAGAUGGAUCCGCGCUGCAUUAGCUAGUUGGUAAGGUAACGGCUUACCAAGGCAACGAUGCAUAGCCGACCUGAGAGGGUGAUCGGCCACACUGGAACUGAGACACGGUCCAGACUCCUACGGGAGGCAGCAGUAGGGAAUCUUCCGCAAUGGGCGAAAGCCUGACGGAGCAACGCCGCGUGAGUGAUGAAGGUCUUCGGAUCGUAAAACUCUGUUAUUAGGGAAGAACAUAUGUGUAAGUAACUGUGCACAUCUUGACGGUACCUAAUCAGAAAGCCACGGCUAACUACGUGCCAGCAGCCGCGGUAAUACGUAGGUGGCAAGCGUUAUCCGGAAUUAUUGGGCGUAAAGCGCGCGUAGGCGGUUUUUUAAGUCUGAUGUGAAAGCCCACGGCUCAACCGUGGAGGGUCAUUGGAAACUGGAAAACUUGAGUGCAGAAGAGGAAAGUGGAAUUCCAUGUGUAGCGGUGAAAUGCGCAGAGAUAUGGAGGAACACCAGUGGCGAAGGCGACUUUCUGGUCUGUAACUGACGCUGAUGUGCGAAAGCGUGGGGAUCAAACAGGAUUAGAUACCCUGGUAGUCCACGCCGUAAACGAUGAGUGCUAAGUGUUAGGGGGUUUCCGCCCCUUAGUGCUGCAGCUAACGCAUUAAGCACUCCGCCUGGGGAGUACGACCGCAAGGUUGAAACUCAAAGGAAUUGACGGGGACCCGCACAAGCGGUGGAGCAUGUGGUUUAAUUCGAAGCAACGCGAAGAACCUUACCAAAUCUUGACAUCCUUUGACAACUCUAGAGAUAGAGCCUUCCCCUUCGGGGGGCAAAGUGACAGGUGGUGCAUGGUUGUCGUCAGCUCGUGUCGUGAGAUGUUGGGUUAAGUCCCGCAACGAGCGCAACCCUUAAGCUUAGUUGCCAUCAUUAAGUUGGGCACUCUAAGUUGACUGCCGGUGACAAACCGGAGGAAGGUGGGGAUGACGUCAAAUCAUCAUGCCCCUUAUGAUUUGGGCUACACACGUGCUACAAUGGACAAUACAAAGGGCAGCGAAACCGCGAGGUCAAGCAAAUCCCAUAAAGUUGUUCUCAGUUCGGAUUGUAGUCUGCAACUCGACUACAUGAAGCUGGAAUCGCUAGUAAUCGUAGAUCAGCAUGCUACGGUGAAUACGUUCCCGGGUCU
rnacentral:rRNA from 1 species